GACGAACGCUGGCGGCGUGCUUAACACAUGCAAGUCGAACGGAAAGGCCUCUUUCGGGGGGUACUCGAGUGGCGAACGGGUGAGUAACACGUGAGUAACCUGCCCUUGACUUUGGGAUAACUUCAGGAAACUGGGGCUAAUACCGGAUAGGAGCUCCUGCUGCAUGGUGGGGGUUGGAAAGUUUCGGCGGUUGGGGAUGGACUCGCGGCUUAUCAGCUUGUUGGUGGGGUAGUGGCUUACCAAGGCUUUGACGGGUAGCCGGCCUGAGAGGGUGACCGGCCACAUUGGGACUGAGAUACGGCCCAGACUCCUACGGGAGGCAGAAGUGGGGAAUAUUGCACAAUGGGUGGAAGCCUGAUGCAGCAACGCCGUGUGCGGGAGGACGGCCUUCGGGUUGUAAACCGCUUUCGCUCAUGACGAAGCUUUGUGUGACGGUAGUGGGUAAAGAAGCACCGGCUAACUACGUG
rnacentral:rRNA from 1 species